rnacentral:lncRNA from 1 species
UGCGACAACAAUCACAAUUUUCUCCACAAUAUAUAGGACAACACCCAAUUAUAUUGUUCAUCUCCACAUCAUUUGCAUUAUCAAGAAAACAUGCCCAUACACAAUUAAUAGGGAAAACAACAUCUCAUGAUAAAUAUCAUAUUCAACAUAUAACCAUUCAACAUCAACUAUCACAUAUAGUUUCACCAUCCAAGCAUUCCUUACAUUCUAAGUAAGAUAGCAUACAUAUCUCAUGAUAAACAUCAUAUCCAAAAUAUAAUCACUCAUUCAUACAACUUCACUUAGUCAUACAAGAAUGGUCACAAUAACUCACAAGACAAUUG